UACGGAGGGUGCGAGCGUUGUCCGGAAUCACUGGGCGUAAAGGGCGCGUAGGCGGCGCGGGCAGUCAACGGUGAAAGCUUGGGGCUCAAACCCCGGAGUCGGCCGUCGACUACUCCCGGGCUGGGAGCACUGUAGAGGCAGGUGGAAGUUCCGGGUUGUAGCGGUGGAAUGCGUAGAGAUCCGGAAGAACACCGGUGGCGAAGGCGGCCUGCUGGGCAGUAGCUGACGCUGAGGCGCGACAGCGUGGGGAGCAAACAGG
rnacentral:rRNA from 1 species